GGAGAGGUGCCGGAGCCUGGCUUAACGGGCCUGACUCGAAAUCAGGUGAGCCACUUUUGUGGUUCCGAGGGUUCAAAUCCCUCCCUCUCCG
rnacentral:tRNA from 1 species